rnacentral:lncRNA from 1 species
AAAAAGGGGGCCCUACAAACCCAGUUAACACUGUAAUGAGAGCCAUUGUAAAUUCUCAUUUUAUUGACAAAAAGAACCUGGGCUUCUUGGCAAAAGUAGUUGAUACAAAAAAGGUAAACUGCUGAGUGAGAAUGAAGAAAGCAAGUAAUUAAAACUACACCCACGAAAUUCAGGACCAAAACAGCCAGACAUCUUUCAGAAAAGGAAGUUGAUAAAUUAAAGAAUUUCCCUAGAUACCCAGAAAAUAACCUUUUAUAUUUGGGAUUCAACUUCAGUGUUUGAAACUCCAGGAUUUUCUUUUGGCUAAAUACAAGGAUUCUUAGGAGGGAAUCCCUUGCUGUUGUGAUUUGGUUUCAGCGGGGUUCAGUCUGAGGCUCUCGGUAACAUGCAGGUUGCAGACACCAAAUGAAUUAGGCAGAUGGAACUCAUACGUCAAAGACACAUACUUGGAUUCCUUUUUGGCCAUUGGUGCAUUUCCUCUCUUUCUUUUUUAAUCAGCCUCAUAAAUCUGACCUUGACAAGGUCCUGCCUCUCUAUAGCAUAGUUGGAGGUGAGAUGGUAAUAUGUCCUGAAGCUUUCAUUUUCUUCUCCACUCGAGUGACCAUCAAUGCCACGUGGCACCCAUUCAUUAUGGGGCUCAGGUGCGGCUGUGAGGAGGCAUGUGCCAAGU